UGUAUGUGUGUGUAUUGUGUUCUGUUUUAGGGUGGGGAUACCGGAGGGGCAGGGAUGCGGGUUGUGCAGCGGGACGCCGCGAGGAGCAGCUCGCAGCCGGCGACGGCGCCGCGCCGAGCAACGGAGCCCACGGGCGGAGAGGUGGAGGGCUGUGGGGGGGGGACGGACUGGCGCUGGGCACGGCCGUGCGGGAGCUGUCCCCGCAGCCCGGCUGCGGAUGGCUUUCCGGCUUCCUUCGGCGGGAUGUGAGAGUGCUUAUGGUUGUGCAUUCACACGUGUGCGCUCGUCCGUCUCUCCCGGGAAAGGCGAGCAGCCCCCGGCAGCCCCGCCGGUGACCGUGCCCGCCCACCCUCCGCGAGGGCGGCUGCUGCGGCGGGGAUGGUCACGGCGGCGGCCGGGGGUCCGGCAGGGGUGAGGGUGGCACGUCCGGGCGCCAUCACUGCGUUCCAUCCUGUGUGCCGCUCCCGGGCCACUUCUUUCCUUUGCCUUCCUUUCUCUUCCUUCCCUUUCCCUUCCUCUUUCCUUUCCCCCUUCCCUUUCUCUUUCCUUCUCUUCCCCCCUUUUCCUUCUGUCUGUCCCAGCAGGAAGAUGGGGACUCUGUCCCACCUGCGUGGGACUUUCUGGUCCCUGGGAAGUAGAAUGAGGUCCCCAAGUGUGAAGGGUGUACAAACACUGUUGCUUGAUUUGCUUGAUUUUCUCAUGGGGGUGAAGGUGCAGAUGCCCCAGGUAUGGUGGUGAUCUCAGGCCGGGGUUUGGUUGAAAUGGAAGCAAGGUUUGUUCUCUGUAAGUAGUGAAGGAUUUUGAAUCAUAUUUGUUGGAAAUGUGGAGCGAUUUGCUAAUAUCAUCUGGAUGGGUUGUCAGGACAAAUAUUUCUGAGAGUGGCGUUUUCUAAAUUUCACCUGAAUGACAAGGUGGAAAGAUGAAUGCCAGCCUUCAUCGGGCAACAUGGCGUUUCCAUCGCUGCAGUCAGCAUGUUAAGGUGGAAUUUCAAAACUAUCUUCUGCUCUGUUUAUGAUGGAGGAAGUAGCAUUCCUUGGGAACAUACUCCAUCCCUACAGGAAAAACAGAUUUGCUGCACAAACAGUAUCUCAAUGGGUUAUGUUAUUAUAUAUUUUUUAAAAAAUGCAAGCUAUUUAUUUUCAUAACCAUUCCAUUUUGGGGAAAGUUCAGUUUGCACAAUAGAUUUCUUUUCAGGCAGCAGAAUAAAAUACUGCUGAGUAUGAUAUCUCCCAUGUUGGUAUUGCACGUCAGCAAUCACUUAGAAUUCAUCCUGACUUUUUUUUUUUUUUUUCUAGUGCAGGCAUUCCAGCAGUAGUCACCUGGAGAAAAAGCUCCUGCUUGUGGUCAGCAGUGAAUUGGUGGAACAUGAGAGAGCAACGUGUUAAAAGAAAUGGUAUAUUCGGAAUCCGUACAAUACAGACACAGGCAUCUGAUAAAUGCAUCUGUUUAUAUGUAGGUGCAUGCCAGAAGGGGCCAGCAGAAGGCACUGCAAGAAGCAGUGGUGAGUCUGACUCUGCGGCACCGCUCCGGGUGCUCUCACUGCUUCGAGUUGGUGAACAGCUGUGGGGCCACAGAUGCUGCGUGCGCCUGUAUCCACAUCUGCAUGCAGAGUGCCCCAUGCACAGUGCCCCACUUGCACCCAUGUGCAGUGCCCUACACACACAGCGUCCCAUGCACACAGUGCGCCAUACACAGAGAGCAUCUCCCAGGCUGCAGCCUGAACAGGAAGGUUUGAGGCAUAGAUGCAGCCCUCCUGUUAGGGAUUGGGCAGGGAAACACUGAAAUGAGUGUCUUGCACUGAGAGGGUGGUGACACACUGGAACAGGUUGCCCAAGGAGGCUGUGGAUGCCCCAUCCCUGGAGGCAUUCAAGGCCAGGCUGGAUGUGGCUCUGUGCAGCCUGGUCUGAUGGUUGGUGACCCUGCACAUAGCAGGGGGGUUGAAACUAGAUGAUCAUUAUGGUCCUUUUCAACCCAGGCCAUUCUACGAUUCUAUGAUUUUAACAGAGAGAUGUAAACUGAACAGUUCCUACAUGCACCAAAUGAAAUGGGGUCAAUGUGGUAUUCCUUUGUGUGGGUUUUGUCAGUGCAAAAUCACUAAUUUCCUAAAAACAACAUCAGGUGAUGAAGCCGAGACACUGCAAUACCACAGUUUAUUUUCCUUACUAUUAAAAGCUGCUGAAAGCCUGGUUAUAACAUGCACAUUAUUUAGCUCACGUGAGCCACGGUGAAAGGAAAUGUUAUGCAGAUGUCCUCGCUGCCGUGAUAGGGUGGUUGGAAUAGAUGGGGAGUGACCCUGCUGGCUGUUAAUCACAGCAGCGAUGUACCUGCUGCCCCACACUGCACCGCCAGCCCUGGGGCCGGGGGGUGUUCCUGAGGGCUGGGUGUGCUCUCACCUGCUGGAAACUAAGGCAGCUGCUGGAGAGUGUCCGCAGUUCUGUUAGGAGCUGAUACGUAAAAGCUGUAAAACCUUGAGAAUUGAUUAUAUUUCUGCACAGAGAUCAUGAAUUCUUAAGCAGAACUGUCGAGGAGCUGGUUUUAUUUUAUUUAUUUAUUUUCUUUGUGUGUGUGUGUGUGUGUGUGUGAAGAAAAAGGAACGGCUGCUGCCAGAAUUAAAAAAAAAAAAAGAAAAAUGACCCAUUCAGACCUAAAUAAAGUGUGUCUUUACAUUGUAAAGGUUGCCUCUUUUAAAACAAGCUAAAAAGCUGCUUGACAUUAUGCAGUAUGGUCUCAUUUUUUGUUUAUAUGUGUCAACGUGAAGUAUAGAUCUCUUAAGAUGUCAAGCGCUCCAAACUGUAAUUUCCAAGUUACCUUUGAAAUAUGACACAUGAUUCCCCAGUCACGGUGUGGCUGCUCAGGCAAUAAGCACUCGUUCCUUUGGCUCUGGGAGAAGAGCAGCCUGCAUUGCUGUUAACCCACCUGAGGAGCAGGGUGUCAUUGAAUCACAGAAUCAUAGAAGGGUGUGGGUUGGCAGCGACCUUACAGCCCAUCCAGUUCCAUCCUCCUGCUGAGGGCUGGCUGCCCCCCACCAGUUCAGACUGCCCAGGGCCCCAUCCUACAUGGCAUUGAGUGGCUCCAGGGAUGGAGUAUCCACAGCCGUCUGGACAGCAGUGCCAGCGCCUCACUGCCCUCUGAGUAAUGAAUUUCCUCUUAGCAUCUAAGCUAAGCCACCCCUCUCUAAGUUAAAAGUAGAGAGGUGCCUCUGGGUUGCAGCAGCCUGGUCCUGCAUAGUGCCAAAGCCCUUCCCUGGCCGCUGCCGUGAAAGGCAGCUUUAGGUGUUUAUUCCCUUUCCUGAGGGUGAAGGUUUGCAGAGAUGUGGGUAUUUUUGGUCACUGGGGUGAUCAUUCUGCUGCACACUUGCAUUCAAUGUUGGACCUGCUCCCAUGGUGCGUUUCUUGUGGUGAGCCAAUGAACAGAAAAUGAAUUACCUUCAUUUAGGUAAGAACCAGAGGGAAGAUGUGGCACAGACAUCUCCUGGGCAGCACCAGCCUGUUGGUGUCCCUGAGGACACAUUUGGGUUCCCAGCCUGUGCAGAGUACCUGCAUUUCUCAAGUGACCUAGUUAAUGCUGGCCUAAUUGCUGUGUUUAUGGGAGGUACUGAGAGCUGGUGCCAAGGUAUGUACUUUAGCCUGCAGCUGAGUGCAGCCGUUUGACCACAUUUGUCCCAUUGCUUCCCAGUCCCUGCACCCCCAGGGCUGCCCUGGCAUGUCUUUCCUGCCCAAUGGUAUGGACGGCUGCGUCUGGCAGCAUCCCUGGGCAGUAUUUGUGUUCCCAGGAGAGGAACAGCUGAUGUGUCUCCACAUGCUUCACAUGAUAGAAGGGAGUCCUGAGUAGGGGCUCAGCUCAAGGAGAAGAGGUCUGGUGCCUGAAACUGGUCUGAGACCUGGCAAAUAGGGCUUACGGGCAGCCUUAAACUUUCUUGUCUUUUGGCUAGAUACUGUUGUAGAUGCUUGCUUGUAGAGUUUGGCUUCUGUUUUUAUAGGUGAGGUCCAAGAUUUAUUACUAGGCAUAGGGAACGCCAUAGGCAAAUUGUGCUCAAUGAUUCCUCUGGGCAGAAUCCCGUGCCCACAUUCCUCCCAUACUUCAGGUUCUUUUAUUCUUUAGGAGGUAUGUUUUGUUUUGUUUUGUUUUUUAGGGAGACACCAGCAGAUUGCACAAAGCUUUUCUGUUAGCACCCUUCAUGCCAUGGUUGUGGGGCAGCAGGCCCCAUGGAUAUCCCAGACUCAGGGCCCACUGUAGCUGCACAAUUCAAAGAGGAGCCCAAUAACAAGGUGUUUAAAACUUGCUAAUUAAAUGUAAUUGUAAACAGCUGUCACAUACCGCUACUGUUUUAAUUGGCAUUCAUCACAGCUGCAUCUGUAUUGUGCUUCCACUGGGAUCCUGGUGCGUCUGCUUUAAUCUCAGAAUGUGUCACCUUCUGAGAGAUUAGGAGAUCACAAAAGCAUGAGGGCAACAUAUUUGUCAGGGUUGAAGGUCGCUAAUCUGUGCCGAAAGCAGCCAAGAAGAGCAAGCUGUGCACAGGGGUAACUGGAAUGAGCAGUUAGGUUUUGUGGAACCAGUGAGAUUUUCCAUCCGCGUUCUCCCUUCCUCGGUCCCUCUCUCCCCCUCUCCCCCAGUGAUUCUUUCCAUACUUCUGAAUUUGUAUUCCAGCACCAGAUGUCAGCGCGAGACACAAGGAAGGUCAUUCAGAAGUAUUCUUUAGCUUGUUAAACUUCACUUCUGCCAGGCUACGUUUGUCAGAAAAAUAAUCAAACUUUACAAGAUCUGUAGCAGAAUGCUCGCUCUUCCAGCUGAACAUCUCUUCCAUCCCAUUACUAAGGAUGGGAAGAUGCAUCUCUGUAGCUUGAAUGACUGCAGAUGCGUUCGGCAGAAUGCUUGUCUGUUUGCUUAUGCCAGACUUGAAGCUGUAAUUGCAUUGUCCUUGUAAACCACUGGAAUGUCAGAUAGCAGUGGUUAUCCCCAUCCCGGGCGGCGAGGCAGAUGUUUCUGGUAGGGUGAGCAGAGAAACGUAGUAAUUGGGAUCAGUUACAACAACAACCAGGCUGUAAAUCUGCUCGUUGCUUAUGCGUGCUUCAUCAUGUCACAGAUAAUUAAACGGUGUUCUUACUCCUUCUUGUGAGUGAGGAAUUAUGGUAAUGUUUGCUUUAAGAGAACUGUAUAAAACAGUUAUAAGCUGUGCUGUUGGCUUGCAGUGCUGAAACAUACUGGCUUACAUUUGGAAAACUCCGGUAUCAGUGGAAACUGAAACACUGAUUUGGUUGCUGUGCCUAAAAAAGAGGCAUUAAUGAAUGUAGUUUCACAGAGCAGAAGACUUAUGGUGACCUGGUUCCAUGCAAACAGACCCCGUGCAAAAUAGGUGUAUCAAUGAUUAAUAGGGCUGUGAACUUCCUCGUCUGAGAGUCAUCCUCAGCCGUUACAAAAAAAGUUCUGAGAAGUCAGAGCUGCAAUCUGGGACAAAAAUGCAAACUGACAUAUUUUAUUUAUACCAGGUUGCUUUUAAAGUCACUCAGUAGGAGCCAGUCAUUUUUGCUUUGAUUUCUGUGAAGUCUUCGCAUGAAUCAUGGCUAGACCUCUGUCUCCUUCAGCGAGGAGCGUGGGGUAUGCACUGUGCUCUUGCCCACGGCUCUAAGCUCUGUGCAGUCAGUAAGGCUCUGAACUGAGGUGAUGUCUGUGAUCUUCAAGGAAGUUCCUCUGAAAACCAUGUUCAGCAUCUCAAUUCAGCAAGGCGGUGAGUGCUGACUGUGAGCCAGGGAUGAUUAGCAUACUUAGACACAUGCGAGUUUCUUGCUGAAUUGGUUCCUGGAUCUCUGAAUGUCUCAGCAUGGCAUUAUAUUUACAUCACUUCUGUGCAGGCAAAGCGAAAGAAAAUAGACAGUAUUAAUCAGCAAACUAAAUCAAGUGCAGCCAUUUAAGGAUGUAGAGGUGAGAAAACAAGCGAAUCCCACGUUCCCAGGAGAGGUUGAUUGGUUGCUUUUAGGUUGGAAAGAAGUGUCAGAAAUUUUACAGUUUGUAGUGCACCUUCUAAAAAAAAAACCCCAAAUAAGUUAAAGUUCAUACUGUAUGUCUUGGGACAGUAUGAUGCAACAAGGCUUUACAGAUAAGUGGGGAUAGAUUCUCUGCAAAGGUUUCCAGGUGUCUGCCAUGUUAGGUCCAUGAGAAUCGAUACAAAGUCAAUAUUGGAAACUCUGCUGUUUCUGCUCUGGCAGUAUUUCCAUUGGCUUCAGUGUGAUGAUUUCCAGACAAACUGAUUGCUUCCAGAGUAGGUGCGGUGCUGUGGGAUGUGGGACAGCUCCAGCAGUAUCGAGCACAAGCCAUUUCCUAUGGAGAUUUACUGUUGUCUUGAAUCACGUCACACUAACUGCUGCUGCCUUUCCCUUCAGAUCCUUUCCCAGCAUCGCUCUUUCAAUAGAAUACCCCACCUGACCUCUCCAAACUGCUGUGCCAGACUUUGGGGAACUUCUGUUUUACCUGUGGGGUUGGAAAAUCAGAAACACAGAGCCAUUCCUUAUUUAUUAUUAUUCCCUGCAGGAUUUUUAAGGUUGUGUCAUUAUUAGCUGAGGUCCCGAAUAAUUCAGAUUUCUGGAAAUGGGUAAAAGGAGAGUUUCCCUUCCUUCACAGCCUUCCUUGCUUAUGUUGCCUUUGCAUUUUUUGUCUGGGAUCCUCAGAAAGGAGUCAGGUCCCCUCAGGAGGAGCGUGUGGUACCUUGGUGGGAGCUGUCAGAGGCUGCUGGUUCAAGGAAUCCUUUAACUCUAUCUUGGUUUGUUUACAGCCAGACUCGCAUUUUUAGAGGGAAGAUGAAUCCACGUUGCAAAAAUGCUGCUUUCGUCUGUUUAGAAAAGAUAGCGCUGCUUUUUGCUGUAGGAAGGGAGUCAGAUGUCAGCCCCGUGCAACAUGCGGGGAAAAAUCCAGGGAGGCUUUUGCCAAGGUAGUUUUUAUCAUGAAGUUUGUUCUUCCAAAGCAUCGACAGAUUCCUUAAUUCAGAGACGUUCCCAAGAUACCAAAAUUCUUGUUCUUGAAAUCAAGGAGUUUUUGGCUUGGAUAACCCAGAAUGCAGAAACAAGCCCAGCUCUCACUUAAAAUCACAGCAGCAUUUGGCCCCUUUGAGGCUCCCUCCCACCACCUGUCUGCCCAUUUGUGCAGCCCCAGGAUGGCCACAGCAGUUCCCUCCUCUCUGUACAGCCACCACCAGCGUCUGCUGCUCUGAGUGACCACCACACCUAUUUUCACCCACCCGUUUGCAGCACAUCCUCUUGAGGAUCUCAAAACUUUUGUGAUGCUCUGUCACCCAGACUUUAGCCUUUGGUGAUGCACUAUUUGGACACGGUCCCAGCACCCUGCUCUGGCUGUCUGUGCUUGAGCAUGGGUUGGACCACGUGGACCCAGAGGUCCUGCCCACCUCAGCCCUUCUGUGAUGCUGUCAGCUCCCAUCAGGGUUGCAAGGGCUGUCCCUGGGAGCUGGCAGCUACCAGGAGCUGACAGUGGUCAUAUAGCAUCAGUCCUCUCUUCUCAUGGCUCUGCUGAAAACAUAAGAGGAAGCUCUGAAUGCUUCAUUUCAUCUCUGUUCUCUUCAUGGGAAUUACAGCAGUCCUUAUCACACUCCCCAGUAUGUGCCAAAGUGGCUACAAUUUUAGUGAGGUUUUCUGUGGUGUGGUGGUGGGAGUGGCAUUUUUUAGUCUCAGCAGUGAUGCUGCCCCCCACACAACUCGAGGCAGCCCAGAUGUCCACACAGUGUCUGCUUUGCCACAGUGUUUUCCAAGAGCUGAUGGGGACAUGGGCCAUGGCAGAGGCAACCUAAGCCCUGAGCAACAGAUCUGUGACUUCCUCCAGUGUCAGAGGGAACCAGUGGUGACCUGGCACACAGAGGAGACAUCUUGCUGUGUGUGUAUGCUACACAUGCGUAUGCAUCAUACAGAUACCCCAGCUCCCUGGAGCACAAUGGACAGUGAGGACUUUGAGCUAUGGCCAGCUCUCCUUGGCAGAAGCUUGCAGACAGCCUUUCACAGAAGAAGAAAGGAGAAGCUCACAUCUUGACCCAGUGACUUGCUCCCCAGCAGUGAGAAAAACAGAGCACAGGUGCAUGGAAAGUGCAGGAGCAUUGCACACAACAGGAAAUAGUUCAGAAUCACCAGGUUUAAAUGAAUUAUUGUGAAGCUGAUGAUGUCUCAAAAGACAGCUGUUAGGACAGGUGCUGUGAGCUGCCACCUCUCAGGUGAGGUCCCCAUGGAUAGCUUCUGACUGGCAGACCCAGGGCAGAGGAGUGCCUGCAGCUACAUUCCAGUUUCUUGCUGUACAUACACCAGAGCCAAAAUGAGCUCUGCUUAACCUCCCUGCCUGCUCUCUGUGUGUCUGCAGCUUGUGCUGGUGGGGAAAUGGGAAACACAUGGGAGCAGCCUGCCCCUUGGCUUCAUCACAGUGAGAUCAGUUUUCUGCAAGGCUUGGAGUUACCUUGGUACAAGGGAUUUUUGCUAACUUUAAUACGAACCAUGUGAGGGCUUUCUUGCCACUCUCAGCCUUUCCACAAAGAAUGACUGCAAAGAUAAUAGUGUGAAACUGCUGUUGGGUUUUUGUAGGUGAUCUGAAAGGUUGACUGCUAGAUCAAUUUUCACUGUCAUCUGUGGUCAUUAAUGAUAUUAAAUCUUACCAUGAAACUUGGUGAGCAGCAUCUGUGCUCCUGUUGCUGUAUUACUCAGCAAGAGACCUAAACUCAAACUUCUGCUGGGUGAAUUUGCUCUGUAAUGAAACCUUUGGAAAGUGGAAAAUCAGAGAGCAUCUGAGGGCUGGUUCUGUGCUCUGAGGAGCUUGGGGCAGAGCUGAGAGGAGGGUCACUGGAACUAGAUGAUCUGUGAGGUCCCCUCCAAUGCAAGCCAUUCUAUGUGGGGAGGUGGUUGGUUUCCUACCCUGCCUGUGAGCAAGCCCCUGGAGACUCGCAGCCCUUGGCUGUUGGCUACUGCUCUUCUGCCAGCCCCAGGUGGACCUUGGCCUUGCCUUUGGUUAUAUUCUUGACUUCUGCUCCUAGAUCUGCUUGUGCUUCACCCAGGAGGACUUUGUUGGUGUGUUUGGUUGUUAUUCGUAAGCCUUUGUGUCGCUGUCAGGUUUCAGAACCAUUAUUCUUACUUGUCAGGACUUGAGAACCUAGACCUCUACCCUUGUUCCAUCUCCAGCGCCUGCCUGGGGUCUGCACUCUUCUUCUCCUGUCCUGUGUGUUUGGUCUGGUUUGUUAAGCUCCUUUAUCACAGAAGUAUAGCUGCAGGACAAAAAUAAUAUUCAAGGUUUUUUUUUUCUUUCUUUCUUUUUUUUCUUUUUCCUUUUUCCCCCCUGGGAUUAAUUUUGACUUCUUGAAAACCAUUUUAGGAAUAUCAGUACUCUGUCUCAUGGACCUGCAUUUUUUCCACCUGCAUUUGUGUUGUCUGGAUAUUUUCUAGCAAAGCGGAGUGAACUUCCUUCCUUACAAAGGAACGGUAUUUUCUUUGACCAGGAUAAGAAGGUGGCUUUGAAUGGUAUUCAUUAACUGGUAAUUCUUACAAGUUAAACAGGAAUUACAUUUCCUGGCUGCUGCAUUAGGAUACUUUAGUACUGGAUGCAAAAGCAUGAUGAUAUAACAUAAAUAUCACAGCGAGUAAAAUAACUCUUCUAUUUCAGUUACAGUUUUCUCACAGCUGAUGACAAAAAGCUAUUUUUAGACUUAUUUUAAGGGAAGUUUUCCCAUGCUGGACACAAGUUAGUGAAAAGCUGUUUAUCUUGUCAGUGUCAAGAUAACUGACAAUAAACUCAAUAAACUCAGUAUUUAUAACCACUUCUAACUGUGAUGGCUCUCAUGCUGGCUUCCUGUACGCAAAAACUGACGCAUUCCUUUUGCACAUGCUUUCAGGACUGCACCAGCUGCUAUCAAAUACUAUCCUGCUUCUCUGCUGAUGCUCGCUUUCAAUGUUUUAUUAGACGAAAUCUGCUUCCCACUGUCUCUGUGAAGCCCUGAACUUGCACGUGAGUUUUUCUCCCCAGCCACACCUCCUAUCAUCCAAAGGGACAAUGUCUGCUUGUUGUACCAGUUCUUAUAUUCUUGCCGACCACACAGAAGCUGCUUCAUCACUGCUCGAAGAUGCCUGAGAUACUGCUGUCCUUUAGAUAAAAAGUGAAAGCUUCUGCCCCACAGUGCUCUCAUCUGGCUGCCACACUGUCCUGUGGGUCACUGGGACAGCAUCCUGGCCCAGAUCCUCCAGCGUGCUGAGAGCUCCCUUUCUGAGCCCUCUGAGGGCUGAGCUGGCUUUGCAGGGCAGAGUCGUGUGCAUGCAGGGCUACACCAGUCCCUGGUGUUCAAACACCAAAGGCUGCUUAUAGCUGGGGUGUUUUGAGAAACCUCUCUAUUAAAGGAAAAAGUGUUUCAUUGCUGGACAGAGGUGACAAGGAAAGCGGCCCAGCAGCUUAAUUAAAAUAGCUUUUCUCUUUCUAAGGGCAGUUUCUAAGCACUUGUUGUCUUUUGUGGGGGUGGUAAAAUCCUGAAAACUCUCAGGGCAGCACUUGUGUUCUGAUUUUCUUGAUAAAGGGGUGGUAACUUAUGGUGCUUGUAAGGUUUCAGAGCAUCACUGCUCUGCUCUAAACCUGGUGGGCGAAGUACUUUCCUGUGGACACGAUGUAUUUUUAAGCACUUAACUUUUACUCGUUAAAUACAAAACCUGAUGCAAACUGACCUUUAGUUCUAGACUGAGUUCAAACUAUUAGAAACUCAACAGUUACUUUUCUGGUGAUGAUUCUAGUUGCCAAACGUUCUAUACUGUGUAAGCCUGGCUAAUGCAGGAUGGAUUUUGUUAGGAGGAGAGGUAUAGGGCUAUUCCCAAACCAGUGAGUUUGUUUAUUCCUUCUGCAAUGAGAUCAAAACAGUUUUAGUAACACUGUCUGCACACAACUGCUGCUGUUGACAGCGGGAAUAAACAGCCCCUGAGGGGCAUGAGAUGGGCUCUGUGCCCCACUGCUGUGGGAUCACCCCGCUCCUCCUGCUGAUGUGCAUGGGAGAGCCCACGGUGGGCCAGACACGUGCUGUGCAGAGACAGGGGAGAUGAACUUGCUGUUGUCAGGGUGCUGUCUGCCUGUAUGGAUUUAGCAUAAAACUUUUUGGGGUGUGUUAAGAAGAAACCAAUUAGGCUUUGGAAGUUACCAGGCAAACCUUGAGUGCUGGCCAUGGGAGGUGUGAUAGAGAAGCUGUGAACUGUAGCUCUUGAUAACCAUGGUGGUUAACCAUGAGUUCAUAAUCUUUUUUUCUUUUUUUCUUUUUUUCUUUUUUCUUUUCUGUUCUUCUUUUGUUUUGUUUUGUUUUUUGGAAAACUCUCUAAAACUGUGCUUAGCUGAGAUUAUUUUAUAUGAGCAGGAAGAGAAACUUCUGGUGGGUUUGAAAUAUGACACCACUGGCAAUUGUAAUAUUGUAAUCAAUCUUUUUAUGUUGUGAUGAAAAUGUGCAAAAAGGGUGGAGAAAUGAAAAGUAAGAAGGAGCUCUGUUUAGAUAUGAGUGAUAUUCACAUCUGCAUUUUGAUCAACUCCAUAUACUUGAAAGAACCCGUCUGUGAACAACCAGUGACAUGUAUUAAUGACAGUAGAUGCUGAAAAGAGACAUACUCUGCAUGCAGAGAACAAUUAUUUCAUAGAAGUGACAAACCUUUUCCUCUUCCAAGUUUACCAGAAGUCCAAUCAUCGCUCAGUGUAUGCAGAUGUUGAAUUAUUGGGACCAACAUUUUUGCUGGACUUGAUCAGGUGUGGCAUUUCUGGCACACAGUUACUUGUGGAGUUGUUUCUUAGUAACUCGUACUUUCAUCUGCCACUGUCUUGAGGAGUAGGUCCUUAUCUGCAGCCAAACCCUGGGGUGUUAAGACACCACAACACUUGAGCACACAGUGGCUGAUGUGCUGCUUGGUUUGCUCCCCAUGUCAGAGGAAGCUGGUGCUUGAAAAUGUUUGUCUCUUAAUUGAAUGCAGGCACAACUUGCAUCUUGUUUUUUUUUUCAAAUGUUCCCAUGGAGGGGAAAAGUUAUUUUUUUCACUUUCACAUUUUUGGUGCUUUUAACUUGCAGAAGAACUGACUGCAGAGUUUUGGAACGUAGCCCAGAUGCUGCGGAUGGGCACACAGAGGAAAGAGUUGGGGGAUAUGCAGGCAGAGAGAACAACACCACAGCUGCAAAUGCUGUGCUGGAGCACAGCUGCGGUCAGUGACAUGGCUGGAAGGGUGGAAGGAAGAUGGUGGAGAGGGUGAAGGAAUGCGUGAGCAAUGCAGCUGAGGUGUGUGUGUGUUGGGACUGGAGCACAGGACAGAGGAUGUCCAGCCUGUGGGACAUAGUUCUGAGGUUCAUGGAUCCUUUCUGAUGUAAUUUCAGAUAUUUGUGGGUGUUUUUCCUCCUGAGGUAAUGUAUUUGGAUGGAAAGAUAAACUCUUGAGUGCUUCCUAUGGGACCCUGGGAGAUGUUCUCCCCUCUGCUGUGGGCAGAGAAAGGGGACACUGAUCAACCACUCCAACCUGGGCUUCCUCUUCAGCAGUUCCCAGCCUUGGUGCUGCUGAGAGCCUGGAAUAGUUCCUAAGAGAGGGAAGUGUCUGGGGCAGCCUGUUGAUGGUCAGGUUUAAGCGCUCUGGCAAGAAGAAAGUGUGGUUUUCACCAUAGUGUGGGCUGUGAAAUGAGGCUCUGCUGUGAUCUUGGCCAAGGUUGCAACAUCGCCGUCCGUACCAGAGCACAUUCAUCUAAACUCUGCUCUGCCUUUGUGUAAACUAUUCCCUCUGGAGCAGCCUGCACUGCUGCAGCUACACGUUUGCCUUCACAGACCCCAGACUGUCAAGCAACCUCACACAAGCAUGCGUUUUGCUCAUGUGAUUGAGCUACAUGUGUUUACUUUGUUAUAGGUCAACCACUUGAGCCUACCCUCAAGAUGAACUUAAUGUUUGCGGAGGAGAGGCAGCAGCUAUGUAAUGCUGGAACAGGCUGAAAACAGAAUCUAUGCCUUUGAACAAUAGUGAAAAUGCUGGCUGGCUGAACUGGUUAGAUUAUUGUAUAUUGAUGUGUGGACCUAUAGGAAAAGUUACUGCAGUUUCCUGAAGUGUUUGGUGAGAAUAUGGAAACCUAAUAGUUGAGGUGGGUAUCCAAUGUAGUGUUACAUUCCUGUAAAAUUGGAAACGAUAUCUUUACAAAGAAGAAUGAAUCUGGUAAAUACUAUGGGAAGGAACCAAAGCACAGCCGUGUGUAACAAGUUAUUUUUGGCCUAUUGAGCGUAUUCAAGCCACACACUCUGAUCCACUUUAACUGCAGUUCUGAACCAGGGCAGAGCAGUGGAUUGUGUGGUGGCACAUCAGCCUGGCUGGGAGUACAAAUAAAGCUUGCAGUAAGUCCAAAUUACAAUUAUGCUGAAUUUAAGUUUUUUUGUUUGUUUGUUGGUUUGUUUUUUUAAUGUCAUGUGGGAUUUGAUAUGAAUUAUAGAGUUGUGCAGAGAAAACUUUAAUACAAACUCUUGUCUCCUUAACACAAGUCUGUUUGUUCUAAAAUGCUGCUGUUUUAACUGAAGGAGAGAGGCUUAUUUAAACAGAAUUUAUGCUCUGUUCCAUCUCUCAGUUCUCUAAAUGGAAAAGCUGAAAUGAGAUACCACAUUGACUAGCUUUCUCAUAACUAAAAAUCACAACAUUUACUACUGCAAACAGACGCUCAAUCUCUUUCUAUAAAAAAACCACCAAAGAUAAACACUGCUCUCUCUGGUAGCUUUUCCUAUUUCCAUUCUAGAUCUGUAAGGAAGAAAACGAGGGUCUGAGAAACAGAUGCCAAAGUCUGAAGAGAUCCCAUUGAAACAACCCUGAGGGACGAGUGCUGAGGAAAAGUCCCCCUUCGCCUGGGUCCUCUGGGAGGAAAAUCUGGUGUACGAGGAGAGGCUGUGGAGAGAUCAGACCCAAUCUGGCUUCCUCUGAAGUCUGAGAAAAUAUUGGCCUUGAACCAACAAAGCACUUACAGUCUGAUAAUGCUCCUAUAAAAUUCAAUGGCAAGACUCCCACUCACUUCAACAGUGCAGCCCAAAGCGCUGGGAUUACUCAGUUGCUUAAAGUUAUGCGUAUGCCACAGAGUUUUGCUGUUUGGAAUGCUAACCAAUAAAAGCAGGUUGGAAAACCUGGAUUUCCAUGGAAAGGCCACUACAUAUUAAUCAUCAAAUAUUUGCUCUACCAAUACUAAAAAUGAGAAAGGCAGCAAGCUUUUGUGUCCAUUCAACAUUUCUAAUAGGCACAAAGACUGUCUUUUGAUCCACCUUGGGAAAAGUUCCAAGAUGCAGUAGUGUUGUUGAAUGGUUUUGACAUCCACCAGAAGUGAAUUAUGAGACAUUUCAGGAGCUGAAUAGUAGUGGAAGCUGAAAAAUUCUUUCUUGAACCUGAAAUUCAAAAUGGAGUUGAGUUUCACGAAGAAGAGGAACCACUGGAGAUGUACGCAAGGCUCCAGGUCUGCAGAACAGCAGUGAAGUCCCAUCUGCUUUACCUGACUGUAUUCAGCUCCUUUGGCUCCAAGACAUCAAAAUCUGUAAAGAGAAGUAAAUUUAGCACUGUUUACUAUUAUUGUGAUGUUUUCUUUCUUCCCUUUAUUCCACAGAGCAGAUGCUUGCUCAGUCUGUUUAUCAAAGUGUCGGCCUAGCCUGUGCUCUGCCACAGUUCCUGGGGAAUGUUGUGCAGAAAUGCGGACUUUGCCAUUGAAGGACUUGGUUCAAGAGCUACUAAACUCUAUGGAAACGUCCUAGAUUUUGGACAUACUCAGAUUAGUAUCAUUUAAACAAAAAUUCAGUAUAUCAGAGAUAGAAGUUAAUAGUUUCAAUAACUUUUCGUUGAAACUCAGUUUGAUAACAUAUUCAUAGCUAGAAAUAUUAUGCCAGAUGAUGCUGGUGGACGCUUUGCCACUGAAUUCAUGUAAGCCACCAUUUUACCAACAGUAUGUAAGGCUUCUUGGUAAUUUGAAUUCUAGAUAUUCUCAUUUCCAAAUACGUUAUCCCACAGCAUAACCAGACUUUUUUAAAAACUCUGUAUUAAAUGCCCUUUUUAAAAUAGGCCAGUGAAUAAAAAUGAAUGCAUAAAAUAAUUGUCUAAUUUCCAUAUGCAUUUAUAAUAGCAAAUAGAAAUUUUGAACAGUGAUACAGUUAUUGCAUAUUACUGUGGUACCUCCUGCUCCAUAUCAGAUGAAUGUCUGCAGCUACCAGCCAAAGUGAUGCCCUUGACUACAGGGCAGCAGAAAACCAUGCCUGAGGUUGUAAAAAAAUAGUGCUUUAAGGAAAGCACAGGAUGUUCUGAUAGUCAUCAGAUCUCUUUUAGCGACUGUUCCACUUCGCAUUCUGCCAACAGAAAAAGUGCAUUUUGUAAAACAGAAGUGAAAAUGAUCAGCGUAAAGAAAUACUCCUAAUCCCUAAUAAAUGGGCUGCCAAAAAUAAAAGAUCUACCAAUAGCAGUGAAGAAAAAAAGUUGCAGGACCGAUGACAUUAUUUCUUUGCAUAAAAACAGUACUACAAAUCUGCAGAUACACCUUGCAGUUUCAACGGAAAUGUUGAUCUGUAGCCCUUUUCACCUGGAGUACUGUGCUCAGAUGUGGAGUCCUCAGUCCAGGACAGACGUAGACCUGUUGGACUGUGUCCAUGGGUGGGCCACAAAAUUGAUCCAGGGGAUGGAACACUUCCCCGUGACGAUGGGCUGAGAGAGAUGAGGCUGUGCAACCUGCAGGAGAAAGCUCUGAAGAGAUCUGAUGGCAGCUUUUCAGUAUCUAAAGGGUAACGAUAAGAAAGAAAGGGACGGGCUCUUUAGCAGGUUCUGUUGAGAGAAGACAAGGGGAAAUUUUUUCAGACUGAGAGGGGAAACUGACAUUGGACAUAAGGAAGAAGUUUUUUACGGUGAGUGUGGUGAGGCACUGGAACAGGUUGCUCAGAGUGGUGGUGGCUGCCCCAUUCCUGGAGAGGUUCUAUGGUCAGGCUGGAUCAGGCUCUGAGCUCCCUGAUCUAGCUGUAGAUUUCCCUUUUCAUUGCAGGGGAGCUGGUCUAGGUAAUAUUUAAGGGAACACAACCCACAGGUAUGAUUCUGUGAAAUGCUAGUUUCACAGAGGCUAGCACCACACUGAUUUCUUGAUGCACAACUAGCAGUUUCUUAAAGCAUCUACUCAGACUGAGAGAUGCUGGAGUAUGCGAUACUGUACUGUUUGACCACGUUCACUCAGAUCAGUUUUUGUACUGGGUGUAUUGGGUGUAGCCUGUUAAUAUGAAAUUCAAUUGACUCUUGAUGCAGUUUUUCCAUUCUGUUUGCGAUUGCAAUAUGCAAACAAUGUGUUACUAACACAGAGAGGCAAGCACCAUACAGUAUUAUUAAUGCCGUGUUUAUUAUUUGCAGUAUGGAUCGAUAAAAUAACACCUCAGCCUAGAACAAUGGUUUUAAACCUCUUCUUCCUAUAGCUCUGGGGAACACGUGCUGCUGCUGAGAGCUCCGCAACUGCAGGCUUUUUGCUGGAGACUCUAAAUUAGUGCUCAGGAAAUAGCACUGAGUAAUAGUCUCUCUUUCACAAGAGAGAACUUCGUGCUGCAUGCAUGAGAAAUGCUACCUUUCCCAGAAGCCUCUCUAUCCAAACUACAGAUGUUGCAGCAAUAAAGCAAUGUUGAAAAAGA